rnacentral:rRNA from 1 species
AUGCAAUAUUCACCAAUGUUGGGAUGGUUUAAUGAUGAACAUUGUCAAUCUUUUGAUAUUAAUAAGCGCUUCACUUAUAUGUGCAAACUGAUUUGCAAUAUUUUCAUGCCUUUUACUUCUUGUGUUAAUAUUUUGGCUUUAUAUUUUAUGAACUAUGAAAGUUACUCAUGUAUACAUGUGUCAUAUGUGCAAAACCCAAGGGAAGUAAAAAUGGAUGACAUAUACAUAUACAACAUGUACACCUUGUCUCUUUUGUUAGCCAUAUUUCAGAUUAAGCAAUGCCGGGACGACUUUGUUUUCAAGAGGGGGAGGAUUAUGAGGACAUGA